rnacentral:tRNA from 1 species
GAGGGUAUAGCUCAGUGGUAGAGAGCAUGCUUAGCAUGCACAAGGUCCUGGGUUCAAUUCCCAGAACCUCCU